rnacentral:rRNA from 1 species
GAUGAACGCUAGCGGGAGGCCUAACACAUGCAAGUCGAACGGGAUUGGGAGCUUGCUCCCAUGAGAGUGGCGCACGGGUGAGUAACGCGUAUGCAACCUACCUUUAACUGAGGGAUAGCCCAUAGAAAUGUGGAUUAAUACCUCAUAGUUCUUUUUGCCCGCAUGGGCAGAUAGAUAAAGCUCCGGCGGUUAAAGAUGGGCAUGCGUGACAUUAGCUAGUUGGUAAGGUAACGGCUUACCAAGGCUACGAUGUCUAGGGGUUCUGAGAGGAUGAUCCCCCACACUGGUACUGAGACACGGACCAGACUCCUACGGGUGGCUG